UAUGCCCAUAUCAUGUUGAAAUAUCGGUUCCCGUACGAUCAUUGAAGUUAAGCAACGUCGAGGCCGGUCAGUAUCUAGAUGGGUGACCGCUUAGGAAUACCAGGUUCUGUAAG